rnacentral:rRNA from 1 species
CCCUUAGAUGUCCUGGGCCGCACGCGCGUUACACUGAUGCAUUCAACGAGCUUAUAACCUUGGCCGAGAGGCCUGGGCAAUCUUGCUAACGUGCAUCGUGAUAGGGAUAGAUUAUUGAAAUUAUUAAUCUUGAACGAGGAAUUCCUAGUAAACGCAGAUCAUCAAUCUGCAUUGAUUACGUCCCUGCCCUUUGUACACACCGCCCGUCGCACCUACCGAUUGGAUGGUCCGGUGAAGCCUCGGGAUUGUGGUUCUUGCCGCUUUAUUGUGGCGUGACCGCGAGAACUUGUCUAAACCUUAUCAUCUAGAGGAAGGUGAGGUCGUAACA